UCAUUCAAAUAGGUUAGGAAAAUAUUUUUGCAUUUUUUGAAUAUCAAAAACUAUUUAAAAUGAAUUAAAAAUAACCAGAAAAGAGAAAAUUCACAAAAAAUAUCAAAUGAUAAAAUAAAAAAUAUUAAAAAUCAGAAAUAGAAACUAGAAUUUAUUUGGGAAAUAACGCAAUUGGUCCCAUAAUUUUUGGAUUAAAAAUGAAAGAGAUAUGAUUUUUUGAAAUAAAAGGAAUUAAAG
rnacentral:lncRNA from 1 species